UGCUUGCUUCGGUAGCAAUAUAUGAAAAUUGAAAUUAUACAGAGAAGAUAAACAUGGCCCCUGUGCUACAAUGACAUGCAAAUUUGUGAAAGCAUUCCAUAUUUU
ensembl:snRNA U6 U6 spliceosomal RNA